rnacentral:rRNA from 1 species
UCGAGAAUCUUCGGCAAUGGGCGCAAGCCUGACCGAGCGACGCCGCGUGUGGGAUGAAGGCCCUUGGGUUGUAAACCACUGUCAGAGGGGAUGAAGUGCCAGCCAGCAAUCUGGUUGGUUUGACAUAGCCUCGGAGGAAGCACGGGCUAAGUUCGUGCCAGCAGCCGCGGUAAUACGAACUGUGCAAACGUUAUUCGGAAUCACUGGGCUUAAAGGGUGCGUAGGCGGCCAGCUAAGCAGGGUGUGAAAGCCCCCGGCUCAACCGGGGAAUAGCGCCCUGAACUAGCGGGCUGGAGUGAGAUAGGGGUGUGCGGAACUUCCAGUGGAGCGGUGAAAUGUGUUGAUAUUGGAAGGAACGCCGGUGGCGAAAGCGGCACACUGGGUCUCAACUGACGCUGAGGCACGAAAGCCAGGGGAGCAAACGG